CCCCUUUUAUUUUUCAGAAAAAAGGCCUAUUUUAUAAGUGUCAGGUAACUGACUAUGACGAUAAACGAUUUAUGGAAUAAGCGUUGCGGACCCGGGGGCGGUACCCGGCGUCUCCACCAUUUAUGGGGACGAAAUAGGAUCGACGCGCGUAGUAAAGGUAAAUUUUUCGUUCGGUGAGCACCGCCGUUAUCGGGCAAAUUUAAUAAAUGCAAACAAUAACUUUGCAUCGGCUAAUAAAAACCGUUUUGGAGCAGUAGCUUCUGCGGCUGCCUAAUAUCUUAGCUAUUGCGGAUAUUAAGCACUAAAGUUAGUCGCGGUUCGGGGGCACCGGGCAACAGAAGCCCCCACU
rnacentral:tmRNA from 1 species